rnacentral:lncRNA from 1 species
ACUGUGAGCUCCCCGCGGGCAGGGUGCCCAGCAGAAUCCCAGCACAUACAGGCCCUUCCUCGGUGGGAUGGAUGCUCUGAUAAGAGGGAAUGAGAAGUGUCACUGGAGUUCUCAUUGGCUGAGCAUCCAGGACCAGGUGGGAGAAAGCGUCGACUCUGGGGGAGGAAAGAAGCUGCAAGGAAGAGGAGAAAAGUUGGAAGUGUCCAGCAUGCUCCCACUGCCAUUCUUCUCACCAUUGCCAGACUCUGCAGUGCCUAUGAAAAUGUGUAAGAGAGGCCGGGCAGGGAUCAUCUGGCUGCUUCAACUCCACCUCCUCCUCCAUUACCUUCCGUGCUGUGCACACAGACUGGAAUUACCAACCUUCAGCGAGCUGAACAGAAAUACAUAA